rnacentral:lncRNA from 10 species
GCCUGUAAUCCCAGCACUUUGGGAGGCUGAGGCGGGUGGAUCACUUGAGGUCAGGAGUUUGAGACCAGCCUGGCCAACAUGGUGAAACCCCAUCUCUACUACACAAAUAAACAAACAAACAAAAAACACACACAGAUUAGCUGGGCAUGGUGGCGCAUGCCUGUAGUCCCAGUUGCCUGGGAGGCUGAGGUUGCAGUGAGCCAAGAUUAGGCUAUUGGACUCCAGCCUAGGCAACAGAGUGAGAUCCUGUCUCAGAAACAAAAACAAAAGAACAAACAAACAUUAGCCAGGCAUGGUGGCAGGCACCUGUAAUGCCAGCUACUCAGGAGGCUGAGGCAGAAGAAUCACUUGAACCUGGGAGGUGGAGGUUGCAGUGAGCUGAGAUUGUGCCACUGCAUGCCAGCCUGGGCGACAGAGUAAUACUUUGUCUGAAAAAAUAAAAAUAAAAUAAAACAUAAAAAAGCUAUCUUUUAGAUACGUAUUAAGAUAUUAUACAUGAAGUGAUAUGAUAGCUGGAACGUGCUUUAAAAUAACUCAAGGGGUUGGGUACAAAUGAAACGAGACUGAUCAUAACUGUGAGAGCUAAGCCCAGAGUACAUGACCUAGUUGUUCUAUUUCUAUGUUUUUUGUUAGAAAACAAAUUGAAAAUACAACCCUGGGAAGAAAUUAUGUAGUCAAGUAACUAUACUAUCAAAAUGAAUUAGACAUUUGAAGCAAUUAUCUAUAAAACUGUAGUAAAAAUUGCCCUGAAUCAAGUGAUUCAGCCAAAGGAAAGUCUGUUGAUUAUAUUGCACUCCCCCCCCCGCUUCUUUUUUUUCAAACAAUCAGCUUUCUAUUGCUACUUUUACUGUAGGCCUGACUCUCAAUACAGAAACUUCAAAAUGGGCGCCUAUUCAAUCAGAAUUUGAAAUUUCUAUUUUAUCCUGCCUCGUGAAUUAAUGAGCACAAGUUCUUUAUAGGAUUCCAGCUAAUAGAUGCAGAAGGAAUGACAAGAUAUCACUGGUUGGCAACCUCUAAUGGAAUCCCAGAUGUGGGCAAAUAUCAUUAAUGAUGGCUAAAUCCAUCAGGGGAAAAGCUGAUAGAGAACUUUUGUAAUGAAUGGAGUGGGCUGGCAGCAUCCAAACCCACUAUCAAUCUUAAUGUUACAAGAUGAGAGCCAUUAUGUGCCAUGAUGUGAUACAACAUGGAGCAUAUAUCACCUAUGAAUUAUUUUUGUGAAAAAGCAAAACAGAACAACAGAAGCCCUCUAGAUCUGUCAGUUUAUAGAACAUAUAGGGGACAGAAAAGGUGUACAUGAUCCCAUUAGGAUACAUUCAGUAAAAUCCACUGAAGGACAAUUCUAUAGGACAAACAACUUAGUUUCUUCAAAAAUUAAAAACAGGAAAGUUAAAUCUAUAGAUUAUAUUAACAAAAUGCAAGAUCUAGAUCUUGCCUGGAUCUUGACUCGAAUAAACCAACUGUUAAAAAAAACUUACGAGACAAUCAGGAAGUUUGAAUAUUGACUGGUACUUGGCAUCAAAAAAUGUUUUAGCAGUCUUACACAAUGGUAUUGUGGUUAUGUUCAAAAAAGUACCCUAUCUUUGGAGUUAUAUUUGAAUGUCUCUGAUCACACAGACAUGAAAAUACUAUGCCUGUUAAUGGGACUCAAACUGAUCCCUGUGGGUUGGGGCAGGGGAUAGGUGGGGAUGCAGGUAAACAAGACUGACCACAGGACAGCUGUUGGAGGAUGGGUACACAGAGCUUCAUUCUGCUAUUCUUUUUGUGCAUUUGUGAAAAUUUCCAUAAUAAAAUGUUUUUAAAAAUGAGUUUGGAUAGCAUUAUACUAUAAAAUCUUUGAUAAACUGAACAUCAAUUCCAGGUAAAACUAGGCUCUGGAGUCAGCCAGAUCUAGGUUUGAAUCCUAGCUCUGUCAUUUUCUAUCUACCAGUUCAAUGUUUUUUGGCAUAGCACACAAUUUCUGUGACCCUUAGGCUCCACAUCUAUAAUGUGGCAGCAACAACUUUCUUGGUCAGUAGAGCACUCUGCAAAGGGCCUGGCACAUGGUAAGUGCUUGGUGUAGAAUUCAAAUAAUUCCACUACCAUUUCAGUCAUAAAUGCAUACUUUUCUAUAAUCUAACAUCUCUCAAAUUGGGAUGUCUCAUAAUUGAUGGCAUAUCAUGAUUUAAUUGGCAGGUUUUUUCCUUAGUCGUUUGUAAAAAAUGGUGCUACAGAUCAAUAGCAUCUAAGAGUCAAUAUACCAUGGUAUCAAUCAUUGUAAAGAUAUAUUCCCAAUUUCUGUUCUAAGGUUACUCUGAAUAACCAAUCUGAGAUUUAAAAUAUUUAAAGUCUGAGUAAAAUAUUUCUAAUACAUCAUGAACAGAACAGUUUUGAGACAAAUUAAUUUUGUAAAAAAUGGUUUAUCAAUUCCAUUUUUGUAUAAAACACACGGGAGAAACCUAGCCAAUCAACACACAACUGUCACCACAUGAAAAGGUACUUUUAUCAAACUUCGAGUCUAAGAACAUACAAAUGUUUCUUUUAUCAUGUCUACAGUAAUUGUCUAUGCUUUUCCAUUUAACUGUUGUUAAAAAUUCCACAUAUCCCCAUUAUUUCUUCUGUCCCAGUUACAGUACAAUGACGGGGAGGAAGAGGGUUGGUUAAAGCAUCCCUCUAAGCAGUUUUCUGCUGUCCCUUCUUUCCAAUCAGAGAUUUGUGGAUGUGAGGGAUCACACCUAGAAUGAAAUUUAAAAAAGUUAUUAAAAACUUUUAAAGUUUUUGCCUCAAGUAAAAAGUUAAUUAUAGAAAAAAUGAAAUUUACUUAAGUCCCUUUUCAUAUUCUGAUACUGUUAAACUAUCUAUACCAAUGGCUACACCCCAGGGGUCUGUGAACCCUUUAAAACUGUAUGUAAAAUUGUGUGACUUUCCGUGCAUUUUUUGAGAAGAGUAACCAUAGCUUUUUUUUUUUUUUUUUUUUGAGAUGGCCUCACUUUGUCGCCAAUGCUGGGGUGCAGUGGUGUAAUCUUGGCUCACUGCGACCUCUGUCCUGGGUUCAAGUGAUUCUCCUACCUCAGCCUCCUGAGUAGC